UACGGAGGGGGCUAGCGUUGUUCGGAAUUACUGGGCGUAAAGCGCACGUAGGCGGCUUUGUAAGUUAGAGGUGAAAGCCCGGGGCUCAACUCCGGAAUUGCCUUUAAGACUGCAUCGCUAGAAUUGUGGAGAGGUAAGUGGAAUUCCGAGUGUAGAGGUGAAAUUCGUAGAUAUUCGCAAGAACACCAGUCGGCGAAGGCG
rnacentral:rRNA from 1 species